UCUGGGCAUAAGACGUUUGUUUACAAACUCAAUAUGCUCUGGCCUCAUUUCACUUUUUUGAACAGCCCUUGCCUCAGGCACUUCCUCAUCAGAUUUGGUGUCACAGAAGUUCCGAGUGAUUUGAAGAUCAGUAGACAAUCCAUAUAGACAAGGCCAUCUUUGCCUUGUAUAGUCAUCAUAUCCCUCACUAGGGAUGUCCAAAAUUUUGCCCAGCUUGGGAGCAUUAAACUUCACCUUCAUUCCUUUCACUGUGCUAGUUUCAAGUCCAUUUUUCACUUUCCCAUUUGCCGUGAACUCAACAAGUUCCUUCCUGGCCAAUUUACCAUCCAUUUGAAGGACCAUGUCCUUCAACCCCUG
rnacentral:lncRNA from 1 species